rnacentral:rRNA from 1 species
GGCCCUGAGGCGCNGCCUAUACAUGCAGNUCGAGCGAAUGGAUUGAGAGCUUGCUCUCAAGAAGUUAGCGGCGGACGGGUGAGUAACACGUGGGUAACCUGCCCAUAAGACUGGGAUAACUCCGGGAAACCGGGGCUAAUACCGGAUAACAUUUUGAACUGCAUGGUUCGAAAUUGAAAGGCGGCUUCGGCUGUCACUUAUGGAUGGACCCGCGUCGCAUUAGCUAGUUGGUGAGGUAACGGCUCACCAAGGCAACGAUGCGUAGCCGACCUGAGAGGGUGAUCGGCCACACUGGGACUGAGACACGGCCCAGACUCCUACGGGAGGCAGCAGUAGGGAAUCUUCCGCAAUGGACGAAAGUCUGACCGAGCAACGCCGCGUGAGUGAUGAAGGCUUUCGGGUCGUAAAACUCUGUUGUUAGGGAAGAACAAGUGCUAGUUGAAUAAGCUGGCACCUCGACGGUACCUAACCCGAAAGCCACGGCUAACUACGCGCCAGCAGCCCCGGUAAUACAAACGUGGCAAGCGUUAUCCGGAAUUAUUGGCCGUCAAGACCGCCCUCCUGGUUUCUUCUUUCUAACUCGAAAGCCAACUCCUCAACCGAGUAGGGACUUUCAUUACUGACAGACUUAAAUGCAAAACUAAAUACCGGAAUUCCAUCCCAUUCGCUCGAAAUUCACUCAGAAUUCCACUUAAACAACUCCCCUAAUCCGAACCUCUAACUCUCCUCAUAGACACCUAACCCUGAUAACCCAACUACUAUUAAAUCCCCUUGUACCCCCCUCCCCAACCCUUCCAACCCCUAAACCUAUUAUUUCAAACCCCUAAGGUUCCCCACGUCCCCCCAUUACCCCACCC